rnacentral:rRNA from 1 species
CCGAAAGGCGUAGUCGAUGGGAAACAGGUUAAUAUUCCUGUACUUGGUGUUACUGCGAAGGGGGGACGGAGAAGGCUAUGUUAGCCGGGCGACGGUUGUCCCGGUUUAAGCAUGUAGGCUGGUUGUCCAGGCAAAUCCGGAUAAUCAAGGCUGAGGUGUGAUGACGAGGCACUACGGUGCUGAAGUAACAAAUGCCCUGCUUCCAGGAAAAGCCUCUAAGCAUCAGGUAACAUCAAAUCGUACCCCAAA